UACGAGGGGGGCGAGCGUUGUUCGGAAUUAUUGGGCGUAAAGGGUGCGUAGGCGGUUUGGUAAGUCUUGUGUGAAAUCUCCAGGCUCAACUUGGAGUCUGCACGAGAAACUGCCGGGCUUGAGUGUGGGAGAGGCGCGUGGAAUUGCAGGUGUAGCGGUGAAAUGCGUAGAUAUCUGCAGGAACACCCGUGGCGAAAGCGGCGCGCUGGACCACUACUGACGCUGAGGAACGAAAGCUAGGGGAGCAAACAGG
rnacentral:rRNA from 1 species